rnacentral:rRNA from 1 species
ACGCUCGACACCUACGGAGGUAGCAGUGGGGGAUAUUGCACAAUGGGGGAAACCCUGAUGCAGCAACGCCGCGUGAAGGAAGAAGGUCUUCGGAUUGUAAACUUCUGUCCUCAGGGAAGAUAAUGACGGUACCUGAGGAGGAAGCUCCGGCUAACUACGUGCCAGCAGCCGCGGUAAUCUGAGCGGGCUGGCAAGGC